CGGCCGCGCCCCCGCGUCACGUACGGGCCCAUCCGGGUCCCGGCGGGCGGAGCCGGCACCGGCAGCGGGAGCGGGAGCGGCACCGGCAGCGCUGGGGGUUCUCCCUCAGCCCCCCGCAGCUCCGAGGGACACGCCGGGCGCUAAUUAGCCGGGUUAAUGAGCGGCGCCCCCCGAGCAGCAGGGGAGGCCCGACCUCGCUGGGGGAAGGAGCGGGAAAAGCUCCGGCCCUCACGGCACCAGGCGUCCUUCAGCACGGGGGGUUAUGGACGAUAAUCAUCCCAAACGGAGCGACAGAGAAACGGGGGAAACGCGAAACUGUGCCAGAUCCUCAAAGGAGGAAUUGUGGAGAUACAAAUAUUUGGAAAGAACUCCUCUCAAAAUCAGUGGGGAAGGUUGAGGCCACCUUCAGCGCCUUGACCCACCGAGGUUUACAUGCGCUCACAACAGCAAAAUUUGGAACUAAACCAGGAUGAAAGAAACAGGAGACAACAUUCUGAAGAGAGCAGGCCAUGAGCAGCACACCUCUGAUCCCAGGGGACAGGCCUGAGGGAUCAUUCCCAUGGAAAAGGCAGCAGCUGAUCUAAAGAAAAAGAAAUAUAUUUGAGCUUUCCUGGUAAUGUUCAGCUUUUUAUCCUUGACAGCAUUUUGGAAUUAUAAAUAAUGCAGAAUUAA